rnacentral:rRNA from 1 species
AGGAUGAACGCUGGCGGCGUGCUUAACACAUGCAAGUCGAACGAUGAACCCACUUGUGGGGGAUUAGUGGCGAACGGGUGAGUAACACGUGAGUAACCUGCCCUUAACUCUGGGAUAAGCCUUGGAAACGGGGUCUAAUACCGGAUAUUUACUUCCUGUCGCAUGGUGGGUUGUGGAAAGAUUUAUUGGUUUUGGAUGGACUCGCGGCCUAUCAGCUUGUUGGUGAGGUAAUGGCUUACCAAGGCGACGACGGGUAGCCGGCCUGAGAGGGUGACCGGCCACACUGGGACUGAGACACGGCCCAGACUCCUACGGGAGGCAGCAGUGGGGAAUAUUGCGCAAUGGGCGAAAGCCUGACGCAGCGACGCCGCGUGUGGGAUGACGGCCUUCGGGUUGUAACCACUGUCGCGAGGGACGAAGAUCUGACGGUACCUCGAAAGGAAGCACCGGCUAACUCUGUGCCAGCAGCCGC